CCCUGAUAGGUUAAAAGAUAGGUGGGAGGAAUAAACAGGAGGAAGAGAAAGUGAGGUCAGACUCUGCUCUGCUCCCAGAGAGACCGGACAGCUCUGCGCUCUGGAGCAGAGACACCAUGAUGGACGGAGGCUAGAAUCUUCCCGAUAAGCACACCUUGGGGUGCUUACACACAUCAUUAGAAAUGGGCUAGUCCAGAUCCUGAGGUUUCCACCACCGCUGCUACCGGAAGGUCUCUGAAAAAUGCCACUGCCACCUUCCAGUCUUGCCGUUUUCAUAGGAUGAGGAUAAAGAAUCAUCCGGGAAGAAUUUCAAAGAGAGAGCAUCUACGCCGGGCUGAUCUGUGGACCGUCUGUGAGAGAUUGCUUUAAUUACAUUGACUGAUGUGGGAAGAAGACCCAGCCCAUCAUGGAAGCAAGGGGUGCCGAACUGAAUACAAAGAAAUUGCCAGGCGCCUGGGAGACAGAGACAGGUAGUUCUCUGUGAGAUCAAGGGUCACCUGAUUUACUAUAGUACGUCCCAGGCCAGCGUGGUCGCCUAGUGAGUCCCUGUCUGUAUUUGUUGUUGUUUUAAAAAGAGAGAUUGAACCAAGCACCGCAAGCAAGGAGGCAUUCAUGUCUCCCUGCCCUUGAUAGUAGGUGUGAUGUGACUAGCUGGCUGUUGUUCUUGUCUGGACUCAAGACUCCAGGAACCUGGGAUUGCCAGCGAAAAUAAACUCCUUUCUCCCCCAGGCUUCCUUCUGCCAAGGUUAUUUCAUUACCACAGAAACAAAUCCAGGACAGACAGGCACUUUUCUACCAGGCCUAUCUACAGACUCUGGAAAUGUAUAGAGGAAGACAGUGUUCCAGAUUCUGUAGCUGUUCUAUUUUUUGAUGGCCACUUCCUAGAAAUAUAAUGCCCACUCUCAAAACCAUAGCCUCGGUUGCUCUCCAAGACAUGGCUAUGACAGGGACGAAACACAGGAUGAAAGCUACUGGCCUGCCUGAUUGGUCAGCUGCAUUUGUGCAUAUCUGGGUGACACAUAUAAGAAUUUCGGACUGCGGCAAAUGUUUCUAAAGACAGCCACCAUCACUUCCUGGCCCCUCUAAGCAUACACUCUCUCUAUCCCAUUGAGGCAGUCCCCUUCCUUUGACUCCAGCUUGGCAAUGUGACCCCUCUGGUCAAAGAGAACAUAGCAGAAAGGAUGUUCUUUAAAAGUUGAGAUCGGCUUGAGAUAACUGACAGGUUCUACUUCCUUCUCCUUGGCACACUCUCUCAGAGGAUGCUCUCUCCAAAGGCAGACGAGAAGGCCCAUCGGGCUGCACGGAAAGGCCAUUCGGCACAUACAGGAGGGGUAUCUGAGGCAAGCAGACAGCUAAAUAAAUACCCGGUCAUCGGAAGAACCUUCUGGGACGCUGCAGUCCAGCUAAGUCUCCAGGUGAUUAUAGACCCAACAAAGUAGGGACACACCCAGGAGCCCACUCAACCCAUUAAGAUGGGACAGAUAACAGGCUGCCGCGUGAAGGCAAUAUGUUCUA